rnacentral:lncRNA from 1 species
AUCGUCAAGGGCAACAUUCUUAAAUUUUUCAUCUUUGAAUUUGCCUUAAUCACUGGUUUGAAAUGCAUCGGUAAUAUCAAAGAUUUAUUAUACAACGAUUCAUCUCCAAGCAAGAUAAUGCAAAAGUAUUUUCUCCAAUCAACAAAUGGGGUUUGUUACAAUCUAUUUUCGAAAAGUUGAAAACGUUUCAUAACUUCGUGACGAAAAAAUAAAAGAUGUCUUAUUCGAUUUUAUUUUGGAAAAAUAAUUUAGAGUCGUCACUUCAUUUUAGAAAAAUUAAGAAAUCAUUUAAAAAAGAUGAUUUUGAAAGAAACCCUUUUAAAAACAACCAGAGUCUAGGUAAGGGUUCAAGUAUAUUCGAACGAAGGUGUUAGGCACUUUCGAAAAUCCACAAAGUGUGAUUUUCAACGGAUUAAACUUAUUUGGCUAAUUUUGAAAAACUUAUCAAGUUAAAAAUCUUGAAAUUAUUUUAGAAAAAUCUUGAAUUUAUUUUGAAAAUCUUUUUUUAACAAAUAGAAAUUAUUUGAUGCUAAUUCAUUUAAUUUAUUCUAAGUAAUAAACUAAACAUCAAAGUUCCAAAAAUGAUUCUAACUUUAACAAUUUUAUGCGAAUCAAGACUUUGGGCUAAAUGAUUAACCCAACGUCUUAAAUGACGAUUUAGACUAUUAAUAACUAGGAAAAAGAAGUUCAAGUUAUUUUAAAAACUUAGGUUUGCCUAAUUAGAGGAACUAAAAAUACUAAGCAACCAAAUAAAGUAAAUAAUUUCAACAUAAGCUUACUCCCCGAUGAUUCAUCUAAAUUAAUUAAAUUACAAGCAAAUAAUCAAGUAAAUACAAGGAAAUAAAGGAAUAAAGAUAGAAAUUUGGCCCCUUUUGGCCCAUUUCAAAUUUGACCAGCCCUUUGGGCCUAUUUAAAUUAAGCCUCUUUUUCAGCUGUUUACCAGCUGUAUAUCAGCUCCACUUUUUCCAUGUUUUGGCUAAUACACGCUAUAUAUCAGCUUGAAAUUUUGUAUACUAUCUUCCUCCUUUCAUUUUUACUUCUCUUAACUUGUAAAUUCGCUUCCACCACCUGUAUAUAAUGUAUAUCUCAUGUAUAUCCUUGUAUACAACCUUAUUUUCUUCCCAAAAAUAAGCCAUUUAGACUUAAGCGGAGGCUUGACUCAAAUGCAAAGGGAUGAAAAGGAGUGAAAAUCCAAUUGGACUCCUUUAGUAAGUAUCACAUGCGACAAAAAUAAGUGAAAGAAAUUAGCAUCCAACUAAUACUACAACGUACUUCAAAGAAUCAAUUAUCAUUAACUAAAUUUCUUGAUAGCAUAUUCACCCAAAAAAAAAAAAAAAACAUAAUCAAGCAAUUGAACCUUUAAACUAAAGCUAAAUGCAUGUAUCAUAGGAGAAAAAGACAUCAAUAUUUCAGUAAUGAAAUAAUUUGCCAAGUGAACAUUUCACAAUGACACAAAAACACGUUAUAACGACCAUGUAAAAUUUCUUUAACGCUCCAAAUCGCCAAGCCAUUGAGAAGGAAGCUUAAAAAGUAAGGCUUUAGAGCAUGGCGGAAAGUUGACAGUAACAGGACGAUCAUACAGAUCCUAGAUAGGACCAAGUAAGUAUUAUAUUCAUAAGAAAGUUAACAUUGGCCGUAGAGAAACAGACAACCACAUGCCAAAGAAUCAAAUACCCGGGGACCUUAUAUGAUUAUUUGAUAGCCUAUCCAUAUUCAUAUACACACAAAUAAGACACCAAAUAACAUAUCACAUAGUUCCAACAAUAAGCGAUUGAAAAUCUCACAAGAGAAAAUAAGACUUUUAAAGAAGAAAAUUCACAGUUUUGAAUCCAAGGAUUGAUUUUUACAACUCUCAUUGUCAACUCAUUACCCUUCUAAAAAAAACACAUUCAAUGAAUUUUCAAAAAAAAAAAGAAGAGAAAAACGAAAGAUACGCAACCUAUAAUUUUCUUUCACUAGAGCACAUAUCCAACAACAGAAUUACGCAAAACAAUAAAAAUACUUCAACAUCUAGUCUUAAUUUGAAAAUUUUCAAAUGAGAUGAACAAUAACAAACCAUUCUUAAUAAGGCUAAAUAAAACUAGAUUUCAAACCAACAAACAAUGAAUAUAUCGCUAGCAUCUUUCGAACAAUCAUCAAACACAAAAUCCUAUCGUCUUCAACGCAUCUACAACAAAUAAUUCCAUCAUAACUACAUAAAAAGAAAAAGAAGAUGAACGAAUAAAUAAAUAAUAAGUGUUUAUCUUAUUUGGGAUAACUCACCGAGACUGCGAGCUUAUGGAUUCUCUUCGUACCACCGAAAAACUACGAAUAAAAUUUCUUCAUCGAAAAUCCUAAGACAAACGGUCUUACAAGAAUUUAGCAUUGAAACUUUAAUUUAGCGAAAUUCCUUUUAAUUGGGGUUCUCUGCUAAAUUAAUCUCUCUUCCUCCAACCCCUUUAAAGAGUGAAUAGGAGGGGUUUAUAUUGAACCCAAUCCUAAAUUCAUGAUGAAUUAACGAUGUAAGAUAGAAAUAUUCAAGGGCGAUCUUGGAAAAUUCAAGUUCAAAAAAUGAGAUAAGGUUUGUUGAGUAGCUGGAAAUCGUACUAUUCUUGUACGAAUUUGAAAUCCGAAAUUCAAACGAGGAUGAGGUGUCGAUAUCGGAUCGAAACUGUCGGGUUGUUGACGGGUCAAUUUCCCGGGUUCUGGAUUAACGUUGAUGUUGAAGCUAUUAUUUGAUGUUGGUAGUUGGUUGUAUGUUAUCGAUGGUUUUGUUGUUGUUGGAGUGGGUUUGUUAGUAAAAGGGGGAAAAGGAAAGGGAAAUUGGGC